AGAGUUUGAUCCUGGCUCAGGACGAACGCUGGCGGCGUGCUUAACACAUGCAAGUCGAACGAUGAAAGCAGGAGCUUGCUUUUGCUGGAUUAGUGGCGAACGGGUGAGUAACACGUGAGUAACCUGCCCUUGACUCUGGGAUAAGCGUUGGAAACGACGUCUAAUACCGGAUACGAGCUAGGACCGCAUGGUCAUUAGCUGGAAAGAAUUUCGGUCAAGGAUGGACUCGCGGCCUAUCAGCUAGUUGGUGAGGUAACGGCUCACCAAGGCGACGACGGGUAGCCGGCCUGAGAGGGUGACCGGCCACACUGGGACUGAGACACGGCCCAGACUCCUACGGGAGGCAGCAGUGGGGAAUAUUGCACAAUGGGCGCAAGCCUGAUGCAGCAACGCCGCGUGAGGGACGACGGCCUUCGGGUUGUAAACCUCUUUUAGCAGGGAAGAAGCGCAAGUGACGGUACCUGCAGAAAAAGCACCGGCUAACUACGUGCCAGCAGCCGCGGUAAUACGUAGGGUGCAAGCGUUGUCCGGAAUUAUUGGGCGUAAAGAGCUCGUAGGCGGUUUGUCGCGUCUGCUGUGAAAAUCCGAGGCUCAACCUCGGACCUGCAGUGGGUACGGGCAAACUAGAGUGCGGUAGGGGAGAUUGGAAUUCCUGGUGUAGCGGUGGAAUGCGCAGAUAUCAGGAGGAACACCAAUGGCGAAGGCAGAUCUCUGGGCCGUAACUGACGCUGAGGAGCGAAAGCGUGGGGAGCGAACAGGAUUAGAUACCCUGGUAGUCCACGCCGUAAACGGUGGGAACUAGAUGUGGGGUCCGUUCCACGGAUUCCGUGUCGCAGCUAACGCAUUAAGUUCCCCGCCUGGGGAGUACGGCCGCAAGGCUAAAACUCAAAGGAAUUGACGG
rnacentral:rRNA from 1 species